rnacentral:ncRNA from 1 species
UAAAAAGCAAUGACCGCGUAAGUAGAGACCCAUUUCCCAUUAGAGAGAGGAGACCCCCGGCUGAAAGUUUCCUUUGGUUCGGAUGGCAAUCGAAUUUCCCGCGCGAGCUGCAUUUUUGAAAGAUCAGUAGGAAAUGCCGUAGGUGCACGUUACGCAUGCGGAGAGUGCCUGUGUGAGGAUAGCACGCAGGAAGCAGGGUGGUACCACGGGUUAUGCCUCGUCCCUUUU